rnacentral:pre_miRNA from 1 species
UAAGUACUCCCUCCGUCCCAAAAUUCUUGUCUUAGAUUUGUCUAGAUACAGAUGUAUCAAGUCACAUUUUAGUAUUAGAUACAUCCGUAUCUAGACAAAUCUAAGACAAGAAAUUUGGGACAGAGGGAGUAGUUG